GCCUGGGUGGCUCAGUAGGUUGAGCAUCUGACUUCAGCUCAGGUCAUAUCUCAUGGUUGGUGGGUUCAAGCCCCUCAUUGUGUG
rnacentral:tRNA from 1 species